GACGUAGGGCGCGAGCGUUGUCCGGAUUUAUUGGGCGUAAAGAGCUCGUAGGCGGCUUGUCGCGUCGACCGUGAAAACUUGGGGCUCAACCCCAAGCCUGCGGUCGAUACGGGCAGGCUCGAGUUCGGUAGGGGAGACUGGAAUUCCUGGUGUAGCGGUGAAAUGCGCAGAUAUCAGGAGGAACACCGAUGGCGAAGGCAGGUCUCUGGGCCACUACUGACGCUGAGAAGCGAAAGCAUGGGGAGCGAACAGG
rnacentral:rRNA from 1 species